rnacentral:rRNA from 1 species
AUGAAGAAGAUCAAGAGUGGGAAUGAGCUAGUGGAAGAAGUAAAGAAGAUUGAGAAGAACAUAAACGCUGGCAGUACUAUUUCUUCACAGCUUGAGUUGAGUAAUUCUGGAAUUCUCCUUGAUACACGUGAGGUUCCAAUACCGUCACAUCCAGCUGAGCAAGAUAGCAAGUGCCUUGAGCAAGAGAUACCUCAGAUUGAAGAAGAUGAACUAGAAGACAAGGAACAAGAUGAUCAAGAGCUGCAAUUCCCAAGUGAUCAAGUUGAAGACUCGUCAUCUACUACUCCUGAAGAAGUAAAAGAAGCUGUUGUAGAUGAAGAUGAAGAACAUGAGAUUCAUUUGCCUAUUGUCAUACCAGAGCGUGAUGUGUCAGGUUUACCCAAUCCUCUCGAUGAGUUGCGUCCUUAUGAUUCCUUUGCUUCUACCUUGCAUUGCAUGAUGCCAUCUGUUAAAGUAGAUUUGAAAAAGUAUUUGCUUGGAUAUGAUUAUAUAUACCCUGUUAGUGGCAUUACACACAUUAAUGAUGAUCACAGUUACUUUCCUCGUGCUAGACCUAUGCUUAAUGAAACAUAUCAUUCUUAUGCUAGUCUUGAGCUUAAUGAAAAAUAUCAUCCUCAUGUUAGUGUUGACUUUGCUGAUUUCUACCAUCCUAAACAUGUGCUUUAUAGCUAUGCUUAUGUAAUUGGAUAUUCGAUUGAUGACUUGGAGGGUAUUAUCCCUACCACUUGCAUUGUCUCUUUCAUUGAGUGCUCUUUCAGGUUGUUGCUUGUGCACGAUCCACUACAUGCUGAUCAAGUUCGAGAUGACAUUCCCUGGGACCCCGGUGGACCCAUGGCAUGGGGAUGA